GACGAACGCUGGCGGCGUGCUUAACACAUGCAAGUCGAACGGAAAGGCCCUGCUUUUGUGGGGUGCUCAAGUGGCGAACGGUUGCGUAACACGUGAGUAACCUGCCCUUGACUUUGGGAUAACUUCAGGAAACUGGGGCUAAUACCGGAUAGGAGCUCCUGCUGCAUGGUGGGGGUUGGAAAGUUUCGGCGGUUGGGGAUGGACUCGCGGCUUAUCAGCUUGUUGGUGGGGUAGUGGCUUACCAAGGCUUUGACGGGUAGCCGGCCUUAGAAGGUGACCGGAGAAAAUAGGACAGGGAUAGAGCCCAGAGUCCUGCGGGAGGCAGCAGUGGGGAACAAUACAAAAACGGAGGAAGCCUGAUGAAGCAACGACGGGGGCGGGAGGACGGCCGUCGGGUUGGAAACCGCUUGCGCGUGUGAGGGAGCGUGAGUGACGGUAGUAGGUAAAGAAGCACCGGCUAACUACGUG
rnacentral:rRNA from 1 species